rnacentral:rRNA from 1 species
AAAUUGAAGAGUUUGAUCAUGGCUCAGAUUGAACGCUGGCGGCAGGCCUAACACAUGCAAGUCGAACGGUAACAGGAAGCAGCUUGCUGCUUUGCUGACGAGUGGCGGACGGGUGAGUAAUGUCUGGGAAACUGCCUGAUGGAGGGGGAUAACUACUGGAAACGGUGGCUAAUACCGCAUAACGUCGCAAGACCAAAGAGGGGGACCUUCGGGCCUCUUGCCAUCAGAUGUGCCCAGAUGGGAUUAGCUUGUUGGUGAGGUAACGGCUCACCAAGGCGACGAUCCCUAGCUGGUCUGAGAGGAUGACCAGCCACACUGGAACUGAGACACGGUCCAGACUCCUACGGGAGGCAGCAGUGGGGAAUAUUGCACAAUGGGCGCAAGCCUGAUGCAGCCAUGCCGCGUGUAUGAAGAAGGCCUUCGGGUUGUAAAGUACUUUCAGCGGGGAGGAAGGUGUUGCGGUUAAUAACCGCAGCAAUUGACGUUACCCGCAGAAGAAGCACCGGCUAACUCCGUGCCAGCAGCCGCGGUAAUACGGAGGGUGCAAGCGUUAAUCGGAAUUACUGGGCGUAAAGCGCACGCAGGCGGUCUGUCAAGUCGGAUGUGAAAUCCCCGGGCUCAACCUGGGAACUGCAUUCGAAACUGGCAGGCUUGAGUCUUGUAGAGGGGGGUAGAAUUCCAGGUGUAGCGGUGAAAUGCGUAGAGAUCUGGAGGAAUACCGGUGGCGAAGGCGGCCCCCUGGACAAAGACUGACGCUCAGGUGCGAAAGCGUGGGGAGCAAACAGGAUUAGAUACCCUGGUAGUCCACGCCGUAAACGAUGUCUACUUGGAGGUUGUGCCCUUGAGGCGUGGCUUCCGGAGCUAACGCGUUAAGUAGACCGCCUGGGGAGUACGGCCGCAAGGUUAAAACUCAAAUGAAUUGACGGGGGCCCGCACAAGCGGUGGAGCAUGUGGUUUAAUUCGAUGCAACGCGAAGAACCUUACCUGGUCUUGACAUCCACAGAACUUUCCAGAGAUGGAUUGGUGCCUUCGGG